rnacentral:rRNA from 1 species
UGGGGAAUAUUGCGCAAUGGCCGAAAGGCUGACGCAGCGACGCCGCGUGUGGGAUGACGGCCCUCGGGUUGUAAACCGCUGUCGGAAGGGACGAAUGCCCCGCAAGGGGAGCGACGGUACCUUCAAAGGAAGCACCGGCUAACUCCGUGCCAGCAGCCGCGGUAAUACGGAGGGUGCGAGCGUUGUCCGGAAUCACUGGGCGUAAAGGGCGCGUAGGCGGCCCGGUAAGUAGGGGGUGAAAUCUUGCGGCUCAACCGCAAGGCUGCCUCCUAGACUGCCAGGCUCGAGCACAGUAGGGGCAGGUGGAAUUCCCGGUGUAGCGGUGAAAUGCGUAGAGAUCGGGAAGAUCAUCAGUGGCGAAGCGGCCUGCUGGGCUGUUGCUGACGCUGAGGCGCGACAGCGUGGGGAGCAAACAGGAUUAGGAUACCCUGGUAGUCCACGCCGUAAACGAUGGGCACGUAGGCGUCGGGGGGA